rnacentral:lncRNA from 1 species
UUUAAUAACUUCUCUGAAUUUUGGCCACUACUACAGUAACUUCAAGUGAGUAACUACAAUAACAUCAAGUGAGUAACUCCAAUUUCUGAAUUUUUUUACAUUACACUAACCAUGAUAUUUGUUCCUCUGUUCUGGUCAUAAUUAUAAUCUGAUUGUUGAACCCUUAAUCAUUCUGAUAAUGUUUACAUGAUGCACAAUUAUACUGCUGUCAAAACUACUCCAUACACACUAUCAAAACUGACAAGAUGGUGGUGGUGGUGGAGUAACAUCUUUUACAUCUCUGUUUUGGUCAAAACUGAAUGUUGAUUCCUUGCAUCAUCUACUCUGAAUGAUUUAAUACUGAUAACUUCAGCAUCUAUAGACUUUGUGUUGUGGCAGCAGCUAAAACCCCUACAUCUUGCCUCUCUGUUUUUAAAGCUGCUAUUUCAAUUGUUACUGAACCUUGUUAAGUUUUUAACAAAAUAAUUACUAGUGCAUCUAGGAAUCAUUUAAGUUCUGCUGCUAUAUGAAGUGGUGCAGCUAUAUGAUCAUGCUAGAAUAUGCAUUUACAUAGACUGACUAAUGGCUCAAUAUAUUCUUAACUUUGUUACUGUAUUUAUCUAGAGAUGGGAGAAUAUCACCAUGUCCUGACUUAGUUACUCUUGCACUCACCUAUGCUGCUGUUGCACUAAUUUCAGUUCCCUCUCUCAGUUGUUCUAUUGCAUGACCAUGUAUAGAUAGAAUUUGUUCCCUCUGGUCCAAAUAGGUGAGCGAGCCAUCCAUCGAAUUGCCCGCAAAAAUUUGCAUACUCCAUGUGUGUUCACUAAAUUUUUAGUGCACUCAUGGAAGCAUGCAUUUUCCAAUCAAUUAAUAGUGAUAACUGAUUCCUUUGGUCUGUCCUUCAAAAUUAUCAGAUGCACUAUUUAGAAUCCAGUUUUGUGAUCUGGGGAACUAUAAUUAUUCUGAUUAUCAACUUGACUGAAUAUCAACUUGCUAGAUCAAAAGCUGAUAGAAAUUGAUAGGUUUUGAGCAUCAAGAGAUCUGAAUGGAGUUAACUCGUAUUGAGAAGUUAACUGAAUUUUUUUGUAUCAACAUUGCACCAUUUCAGCAUGACAACUCAACUCAACUAACCUCAACUCAAUUCAGCAAUUAUCUUGCAGGUUCAGGAAUUAUCUUUGCAGAUUCUCCAGACACAACAAUAAUCUUCAGACUCACACCACUAGUUGAAUUGCAGCAGUAGUAGAGGUGGGCGGGGCAGACUCACUAGCACCAGUACCAGCAGAGUCAGGGCAAGGGAAAGGGAAGAAGCAUCAUCAGAGGUCCACGUCGGCGUCUCCUACCAACAGUAGUAACAUCAGUGGCGGGAGUGGCCGGAAUUGUCCGUGCCGGUGGUGGCCAAAGCAGAAGAAGUCAGAGGCAUAGGUUUGUGGUUGUGGGCGGCGAAGGUGGUUGCGCAGGAAGGCGACCGUGGCCAGCAUAGGUGGGCUACAGCAUGUGGCAAGAUUCAACGGGGCUGGUGGCGCAGCUCGAGGCGGGCGUCAGCACAGGUUGCCUUCACGGCGGGCACCGCAGGUGGGAAGCCUUGGCGCAUGUUGGGGAUAUAACUAUUUGUGUAAGCCUCCCAGGAGGGGUCGGGUUAUUCAAAGAGGAUUCCCCAGAGAGAAGCCCAAGACCAAGGCAUGAAGAUGGCGGUUCAUAGAUAGCUUAAGGCCCAGGGGCGACUUAAGGCUCGUUGUCGUAAACCGUUGUAAUAAUAUUACUUGUAUCAUAAGGUAGACUUAACUAGUCACCGAUCCGGACAUUGUUUAUAAGCCGGCCGGGACUCUGUAAGCCGCAGGGCGUCGACCCGUGUAUAUAAGGGGACGACCCGCUGGCGGCUUAGGGCAAGAAACAACUCAUCGAGAGCCAGGCAUAGCGUAUCUUGCUCCCUGUUCAUCGAAACAUCAAUACCAACCCAACUAGACAUAGGCCUUACCUUCACCGUAAGGGGCCGAACUAGUAUAAAA